rnacentral:rRNA from 1 species
ACGGGGGGAACGCGAAGAACCUUACCCGGACUUGAUAUCUAACAAAUCAUCCAGAGAUGGAAGAGUGUCUGCUUGCAGAAAUGUUAAGACAGGUGCUGCACGGCUGUCGUCAGCUCGUGUCGUGAGAUGUUGGGUUAAGUCCCGCAACGAGCGCAACCCACGUCAUUAGUUGCUAACGGUUCGGCCGAGCACUUUAAUGA